GAUGAACGCUGGCGGCGUGCCUAAUACAUGCAAGUCGAGCGAACGGACGAGAAGCUUGCUUCUCUGAUGUUAGCGGCGGACGGGUGAGUAAAACGUGGAUAACCUACCUAUAAGACUGGGAUAACUUCGGGAAACCGUAGCUAAUACCGGAUAAUAUUUUGAACCGCAUGGUUCAAAAGUGAAAGACGGUCUUGCUGUCACUUAUAGAUGGAUCCGCGCUGCAUUAGCUAGUUGGUAAGGUAACGGCUUACCAAGGCAACGAUGCAUAGCCGACCUGAGAGGGUGAUCGGACACACUGGAACUGAGACACGGUCCAGACUCCUACGGGAGGCAGCAGUAGGGAAUCUUCCGCAAUGGGCGAAAGCCUGACGGAGCAACGCCGCGUGAGUGAUGAAGGUCUUCGGAUCGUAAAACUCUGUUAUUAGGGAAGAACAUAUGUGUAAGUAACUGUGCACAUCUUGACGGUACCUAAUCAGAAAGCCACGGCUAACUACGUG
rnacentral:rRNA from 1 species